rnacentral:rRNA from 1 species
UUUAUGGAGAGUUUGAUCCUGGCUCAGGACGAACGCUGGCGGCGUGCCUAAUACAUGCAAGUCGAGCGGAUCGAUGGGAGCUUGCUCCCUGAGAUCAGCGGCGGACGGGUGAGUAACACGUGGGUAACCUGCCUGUAAGACUGGGAUAACUCCGGGAAACCGGGGCUAAUACCGGAUAACACCUACCCCCGCAUGGGGGAAGGUUGAAAGGUGGCUUCGGCUAUCACUUACAGAUGGACCCGCGGCGCAUUAGCUAGUUG